AAUAUUUGACUAUGGGGGCAACCCUGAUCCAGCCAUACCGCGUGUGUGAAGAAGGUAUUCGCAUUGUAAAGCACUUUAAGUUGGGAGGAAGGCCUUUAGGCUAGUACCCUGAAUUCUUGACGUUACCGCCAGAAUAAGCACCGGCUUACUCUGCGCAAGCAGCCGCGGUAAUACAGAGGGUGCAAGCGUUAAUCGGAAUUACUGGGGGUAAAGCGCGCGUAAGUGGUUCAGUAAGAUGGGUGUGAAAUCCCCGGGCUUAACAUGGGAAUUGAUUUCAAAACUGACGAGCUAGAGUACGGUAGAGGGUAGUGGAAUUUCCUGUGUAGCGGUGAAAUGCGUAGAUAUAGGAAGGAACAUCAGUGGCGAAGGCGACUACCUGGACUGAUACUGACACUGAGGUGCGAAAGCGUGGGGAGCAAACA
rnacentral:rRNA from 1 species